CUGUGAGCUCGAUGAGUAGGGCGGGACACGUGGUAUCCUGUCUGAAUAUGGGGGGACCAUCCUCCAAGGCUAAAUACUCCUGACUGACCGAUAGUGAACCAGUACCGUGAGGGAAAGGCGAAAAGAACCCCGGCGAGGGGAGUGAAAAAGAACCUGAAACCGUGUACGUACAAGCAGUGGGAGCACGCUUAGGCGUGUGACUGCGUACCUUUUGUAUAAUGGGUCAGCGACUUAUAUUCUGUAGCAAGGUUAACCGAAUAGGGGAGCCGAAGGGAAACCGAGUCUUAACUGGGCGUUAAGUUGCAGGGUAUAGACCCGAAACCCGGUGAUCUAGCCAUGGGCAGGUUGAAGGUUGGGUAACACUAACUGGAGGACCGAACCGACUAAUGUUGAAAAAUUAGCGGAUGACUUGUGGCUGGGGGUGAAAGGCCAAUCAAACCGGGAGAUAGCUGGUUCUCCCCGAAAGCUAUUUAGGUAGCGCCUCGUGAAUUCAUCUCCGGGGGUAGAGCACUGUUUCGGCAAGGGGGUCAUCCCGACUUACCAACCCGAUGCAAACUGCGAAUACCGGAGAAUGUUAUCACGGGAGACACACGGCGGGUGCUAACGUCCGUCGUGAAGAGGGAAACAACCCAGACCGCCAGCUAAGGUCCCAAAGUCAUGGUUAAGUGGGAAACGAUGUGGGAAGGCCCAGACAGCCAGGAUGUUGGCUUAGAAGCAGCCAUCAUUUAAAGAAAGCGUAAUAGCUCACUGGUCGAGUCGGCCUGCGCGGAAGAUGUAACGGGGCUAAACCAUGCACCGAAGCUGCGGCAGCGACGCUGAUGCGUUGUUGGGUAGGGGAGCGUUCUGUAAGCCUGUGAAGGUGUGCUGUGAGGCAUGCUGGAGGUAUCAGAAGUGCGAAUGCUGACAUAAGUAACGAUAAAGCGGGUGAAAAGCCCGCUCGCCGGAAGACCAAGGGUUCCUGUCCAACGUUAAUCGGGGCAGGGUGAGUCGACCCCUAAGGCGAGGCCGAAAGGCGUAGUCGAUGGGAAACAGGUUAAUAUUCCUGUACUUGGUGUUACUGCGAAGGGGGGACGGAGAAGGCUAUGUUGGCCGGGCGACGGUUGUCCCGGUUUAAGCGUGUAGGCUGGUUUUCCAGGCAAAUCCGGAAAAUCAAGGCUGAGGCGUGAUGACGAGGCACUACGGUGCUGAAGCAACAAAUGCCCUGCUUCCAGGAAAAGCCUCUAAGCAUCAGGUAACAUCAAAUCGUACCCCAAACCGACACAGGUGGUCAGGUAGAGAAUACCAAGGCGCUUGAGAGAACUCGGGUGAAGGAACUAGGCAAAAUGGUGCCGUAACUUCGGGAGAAGGCACGCUGAUAUGUAGGUGAAGUCCCUCGCGGAUGGAGCUGAAAUCAGUCGAAGAUACCAGCUGGCUGCAACUGUUUAUUAAAAACACAGCACUGUGCAAACACGAAAGUGGACGUAUACGGUGUGACGCCUGCCCGGUGCCGGAAGGUUAAUUGAUGGGGUCAGCGCAAGCGAAGCUCUUGAUCGAAGCCCCGGUAAACGGCGGCCGUAACUAUAACGGUCCUAAGGUAGCGAAAUUCCUUGUCGGGUAAGUUCCGACCUGCACGAAUGGCGUAAUGAUGGCCAGGCUGUCUCCACCCGAGACUCAGUGAAAUUGAACUCGCUGUGAAGAUGCAGUGUACCCGCGGCAAGACGGAAAGACCCCGUGAACCUUUACUAUAGCUUGACACUGAACAUUGAGCCUUGAUGUGUAGGAUAGGUGGGAGGCUUUGAAGUGUGGACGCCAGUCUGCAUGGAGCCGGCCUUGAAAUACCACCCUUUAAUGUUUGAUGUUCUAACGUUGACCCGUAAUCCGGGUUGCGGACAGUGUCUGGUGGGUAGUUUGACUGGGGCGGUCUCCUCCUAAAGAGUAACGGAGGAGCACGAAGGUUGGCUAAUCCUGGUCGGACAUCAGGAGGUUAGUGCAAUGGCAUAAGCCAGCUUGACUGCGAGCGUGACGGCGCGAGCAGGUGCGAAAGCAGGUCAUAGUGAUCCGGUGGUUCUGAAUGGAAGGGCCAUCGCUCAACGGAUAAAAGGUACUCCGGGGAUAACAGGCUGAUACCGCCCAAGAGUUCAUAUCGACGGCGGUGUUUGGCACCUCGAUGUCGGCUCAUCACAUCCUGGGGCUGAAGUAGGUCCCAAGGGUAUGGCUGUUCGCCAUUUAAAGUGGUACGCGAGCUGGGUUUAGAACGUCGUGAGACAGUUCGGUCCCUAUCUGCCGUGGGCGCUGGAGAACUGAGGGGGGCUGCUCCUAGUACGAGAGGACCGGAGUGGACGCAUCACUGGUGUUCGGGUUGUCAUGCCAAUGGCACUGCCCGGUAGCUAAAUGCGGAAGAGAUAAGUGCUGAAAGCAUCUAAGCACGAAACUUGCCCCGAGAUGAGUUCUCCCUGACUCCUUGAGAGUCCUGAAGGAACGUUGAAGACGACGACGUUGAUAGGCCGGGUGUGUAAGCGCAGCGAUGCGUUGAGCUAACCGGUACUAAUGAACCGUGAGGCUUAACCUU
rnacentral:rRNA from 1 species